UACGGAGGAUGCGAGCGUUAUCCGGAUUUAUUGGGUUUAAAGGGUGCGUAGGCGGCUUUUUAAGUCAGCGGUGAAAUUUUGCAGCUUAACUGUAACAGUGCCGUUGAUACUGGGGAGCUAGGAUUUGGUUGCUGUGGGUGGAAUGUGUGGUGUAGCGGUGAAAUGCAUAGAUAUCACGAGGAACUCCGAUUGCGCAGGCAGCUUACUAAACUACUACUGACGCUCAUGCACGAAGGCGUGGGGAUCAAACAGGAUUAGA
rnacentral:rRNA from 1 species